rnacentral:rRNA from 1 species
GAUGAACGCUGGCGGCGUGCCUAAUACAUGCAAGUCGAGCGAACAGACGAGGAGCUUGCUCCUCUGACGUUAGCGGCGGACGGGUGAGUAACACGUGGAUAACCUACCUAUAAGACUGGGAUAACUUCGGGAAACCGGAGCUAAUACCGGAUAAUAUAUUGAACCGCAUGGUUCAAUAGUGAAGGACGGUUUUGCUGUCACUUAUAGAUGGAUCCGCGCCGCAUUAGCUAGUUGGUAAGGUAACGGCUUACCAAGGCAACGAUGCGUAGCCGACCUGAGAGGGUGAGCGGCCACACUGGAACUGAGACACGGUCCAGACUCCUACGGGAGGCAGCAGUAGGGAAUCUUCCGCAAUGGGCGAAAGCCUGACGGAGCAACGCCGCGUGAGUGAUGAAGGUCUUCGGAUCGUAAAACUCUGUUAUUAGGGAAGAACAAAUGUGUAAGUAACUAUGCACGUCUUGACGGUACCUAAUCAGAAAGCCACGGCUAACUACGUG